rnacentral:rRNA from 1 species
AGAGAGAGACAUGCGCGCAUAUCAAUAAGCGGAGGAAAAGAAACUAACAAGGAUUCCCUUAGUAACGGCGAGUGAAGCGGGAAGAGCUCAAAUUUGAAAUCUUCAAGGUUUUACCUUGACGAAUUGUAGUUUAAAGAAGUGUUUUCUGCUGAAGUUUUGGUAAAAGUUCUUUGGAAUAGGACAUCAUAGAGGGUGAGAAUCCCGUAUUUGACCAUUAUUUUCAGCUUUGUGAUACACUUUCAAAGAGUCGGAUUGUUUGGGAAUGCAGUCUAAAAUGGGUGGUAAAUUUCAUCUAAAGCUAAAUAUUGGCGAGAGACCGAUAGCGAACAAGUACCGUGAGGGAAAGAUGAAAAGAACUUUGAAAAGAGAGUUAAACAGUACGUGAAAUUGUCAAAAGGGAAGCGUUUGACACCAGUGUUGUUUUCUCGAAAAUCAAUUAAAAAUGGCUCGAUUUUGUAUUGCUGAGACCUUAAAAGCUCACUGUACAUUUUUCGUGUCUUUUUUAAUGCACUUUUCGUUUAACAAGUCAACAUCAGUUUCUUCUGUUGUAAAAGGGUCAUUGGAAGGUGGCUUUCUUUUCGGAGAAAGUGUUUAUAGCCUUUGGCCUCUGCAAUCGGAGAGACUGAGGUCUGCAGCGUAGACUCUUCGGGGUUAGAUACAUUUGUGCUAAGUUAUAGCUUUUUAUAGACAACUUGUUGACUAUAAUUAGUCUUGUAGCUUACUCGCUUAUGCUAUUUUACCUACGCUUAGGAUGUUGAGUCGUAGAGCACGCAG